CGCCAGACUCCUACGGGAGGCAGCAGUGGGGGAUAUUGCACAAUGGGGGGAACCCUGAUGCAGCGACGCCGCGUGGGUGAAGAAGCGCCUCGGCGCGUAAAGCCCUGUCAGCAGGGAAGAAAAUGACGGUACCUGAAGAAGAAGCCCCGGCUAACUACGUGCCAGCAGCCGCGGUAAUACGUAGGGGGCAAGCGUUAUCCGGAUUUACUGGGUGUAAAGGGGGCGCAGACGGCGAUGCAAGCCAGGAGUGAAAGCCCGGGGCCCAACCCCGGGACUGCUUUUGAAACUGUACAGCUUGAUUGCAGGAGAGGCAAGUGGAAUUCCUAGUGUAGCGGUGAAAUGCGUAGAUAUUAGGAGGAACACCAGUGGCGAAGGCGGCUUGCUGGACUGUAAAUGACGCUGAGGCUCGAAAGCGUGGGGAGCAAACAGGAUUAGAUACCCGUGUA
rnacentral:rRNA from 1 species